rnacentral:ncRNA from 1 species
CCAAAGGCUCUUUUCAGAGCCACCCACCUUCUCAGUGAAAGAAGCU